UACGGAGGGUGCGAGCGUUGUCCGGAAUCACUGGGCGUAAAGGGCGCGUAGGCGGCCUGAUAAGUAGGGGGUGAAAUCCUGCGGCUUAACCGCAGGGCUGCCUUCUAAACUGUCAGGCUAGAGCACAGUAGAGGCAGGUGGAAUUCCCGGUGUAGCGGUGGAAUGCGUAGAGAUCGGGAAGAACAUCAGUGGCGAAGGCGGCCUGCUGGGCUGUUGCUGACGCUGAGACGCGAAAGCGUGGGGAGCGAACAGG
rnacentral:rRNA from 1 species